rnacentral:tRNA from 1 species
GGGGCAGUAGCUCAGUUGGGAGAGCACCACAAUGGCAUUGUGGGGGUCAUGGGUUCGAGUCCCUUCUGCUCCA